AAAGCCCGCGGCUUCGAUUUAUUCCUAACCCUAACUGCCCCACGUCCCAGUCUGGCACCUCCGGCAGCUACCCGGAUACUUACCUGCCAGCCUGGCGCCCGGAGAGGGAAAGCUAAACUGCAAAAAUAUCCAGGUUUCCCAGCCAGCAGAAUCUGCCCCGCAGAGUUCGGGAAGCAGCGCCAGCGCCCCUUCUCGUCGUGCGAUAUCCCGUAAGACUUUGGG